UUUCCGUAGGUGAACCUGCGGAAGGAUCAUUAUUGGAUUUUGAAACUUCAGGCUGCUGCUGGCUCUCCUCGGAGGGCAUGUGCACGCUUGUUGUCCAUUAUUUCUCCCACUGUGCACAAAUUGUAGACCUUUCAGUAGGCCUAUGUUGUUUCUCACAAUCUCUGAAUGUAAUAGAAUGGUUUUGAAUCUUGGGAAAUACAAUACAACUUUCAGCAACGGAUCUCUUGGCUCUC
rnacentral:misc_RNA from 1 species